rnacentral:rRNA from 1 species
UACGUAGGGGGCGAGCGUUGUCCGGAAUCACUGGGCGUAAAGGGCGCGUAGGCGGCCGCGUAAGUCACUUGUGAAAUCCCGGGGCUCAACUCCGGGGCCGCAGGUGAGACUGCGUGGCUAGAGCACGGUAGAGGCGAGUGGAAUUCCCGGUGUAGCGGUGGAAUGCGUAGAUAUCGGGAAGAACACCGGUGGCGAAGGCGGCUCGCUGGGCCGUUGCUGACGCUGAUGCGCGAAAGCGUGGGGAGCAAACAGG